rnacentral:rRNA from 1 species
CCUACGGGCGGCAGCAGUGGGGAAUAUUCCACAAUGGACGAAAGUCUGAUGGAGCAACGCCGCGUGAGUGAUGAAGGGCUUCGGCUUGUAAAGCUCUGUUGGUAGGGAAGAAAGAUAGAGGUAGUAACUGGCCUUUAGUUGACGGUAAUUACUUAGAAAGUCCCGGCUAACUACGUGCCAGCCGCCGAGGUAAUACGGAGGUGGGGAGCGUUGGCCGGAUUUAUUGGGGGGCAAGGGAGUGCAGGAGGUUCAAGAAGUCUGAUGUGAAAGACUUCGGCUCAACCGUAGAACUGCUUCAGAAACUGUUGAACUUGAGUGCAGGAGAGGAGAGUGGAACUCCAUGUGUAGCGGUGGAAUGCGUAGAUAUAUGGAAGAACACCAGUGGCGAAGGCGGCUCUCUGGUCUGCAACUGACGCUGAGGCUCGAAAGCGUGGGUAGCGAACAGGAUUAGAUACCACGGUAGUC